rnacentral:misc_RNA from 1 species
AUUUUGAUUUUCAGACAUUGGAUUCUUGGACUGCAAAGAGUAGAAGAGUACAAGGAAUCUGAUGCAAGCUUGAGUGAUUUGAGUGUUCUCUAGCAUUUGGUUGAUUUAUUGUAUUUUUAAAAAAAAUAAAAAUGGAGAGGGGAGUUGAUUUUUGGGCCUCUCCUAAAGGUCAAAUGGAGGGUGUUGCGUCGUUUGAUGCUAGUACAAGGUCUUCAAAUGUUGAUUCAUUCAACAAUGUUAUGGAGAUUAUGAAUCUAGAUGCUUAUGCGG